CGGCGUGUGCAAGGGGCUGGGAGGCGGGUCGUCAGCGUGAGGGCGCGGUUCCUGUGCGCAGACUGCGAAAUUCAGGGCUCCCUCACCAUGUCUUGCACAGCUUUCCCUCUCUUCGGUGGAGGUCGCUGUCAGCCUCAAAAACUACCUCCUGCCCUCGCCGCGGGACUGCUCCCCGAAGGCCUCGAAGGCGUCGCACAGGUGGGCAGGAUGGCUCCGUCCCUCACCUGGAAGUCCCCGACACACCCAAAGAAAGAGGACGUCUGUCAGUGAAUCAGCUCACCCGAGGAGGGUCUUUAGAGUUACAAACAAUAGAACGUGGGGCUCAAGAAAGUACCGUGGGGCUCAUGGCACCUGGCUCACCCCAUCCUUUCCACCGGGACCACAUCCAAACCCUCGGGGAGGAGGCGAGUCUGGUUAAGGAGGCUUCGGACCUGGACAGUUCAGACCCACCCAACCUGACCUGACAGCUGCAGGGCGAGAGGCACCUUGAAUGAUAGGGGUGAGGCGGAAUUCACCUGAGCAUCCUGACUGCACCAGCUGGGACUCCCAGCCAGCCAAAGCAGUGCCACCUGUUGAGUGAGCAAUGCUGGAGAUGUGACCUUUGUGCUCAUAAUCAAGUGACAGUGUUGCCGUUUCCCCACUGUGAACAGCCCAUCACAAACUAGGGUAUAACCAGAACCUAGGAGGCUGUUUGGAAAACCAACCCCAUUUGAAAGCCGUGAUUGUGGAAUUGCCUGUUGCCGGAGAGACGAUAAAAGGGGCUGGGGAGGCACCUGAAGAAACACUCUGGGCUGCAGCUCAGAGGGGAGCGGGAACAGGCUAAGGAUAAGACAUCUGCAUAUGUCGGAGCAAAGAGAUGGUGGUCUAGACAGAGUUGCCCAGGCAUGAACGCAAUGGAAGAAGUGCAGACAAUCUGGGGAGAACACAGAAUGCAACACUUAAAAGAAAAAUGCAUUGUGGGGCCGGCCGAGUGGCGCGAUGGUUAAGAACUCGC